rnacentral:rRNA from 1 species
GAUGAACGCUGGCGGCGUGCCUAACACAUGCAAGUCAAGCGAUUCUCUUCGGAGAAGAGCGGCGGACGGGUGAGUAACGCGUGGGUAACCUGCCCUGUACACACGGACAACAUACCGAAAGGUAUGCUAAUACGGGAUAAUAUGCUUUUAUCGCAUGGUAGAAGUAUCAAAGCUCCGGCGGUACAGGAUGGACCCGCGUCUGAUUAGCUAGUUGGUAAGGUAACGGCUUACCAAGGCGACGAUCUGUAGCCGACCUGAGAGGGUGAUCGGCCACAGUGGAACUGAGACACGGUCCAAACUCCUACGGGAGGCAGCAGUGGGGAAUAUUGCACAAUGGGCGAAAGCCUGACGCAGCAACGCCGCGUGAGCGAUGAAGGCCUUCGGGUCGUAAAGCUCUGUCCUCAAGGAAGAUAAUGACGGUACUUGAGGAGGAAGCCCCGGCUAACUACGUGCCAGCCGCCGCGGUAA